AGGUUUUUUUAAUUUAGAAAAAUGUCUGUUCUUUUGAACAUGUUAUGUCUGAGUGUGUGCGAUUUUGUGUUAGUAAAAUUUACUUUUUCUGUGGAUUACAACUUUACCCCUUAAUAUUUUAUCGUAUGAAAAUGCACUAUUUAUUUUGAAUAAAUAUCUGCUAUUAACAUGGAUUGCACAUUCUGAAACAAAUUAAUGAAAACAUAGAACGGUGUGUCUUUAAAUAUGAAAAAAUAUAGUUUUUUACAAAAAUCGAAACAUACAAAACUGAGAUCACGCUUAGACGAUAUAAAAUAUAGACCAUUUUUUCUGUAUUGCAUACAACUUAAACUAUUUAAUCGACUUAAUUUGGUUAGUGAGUAGUUACAGCCCGUGUAUCCUCAAUUUCUGUUUUCUUGCACUGUGUUUAUACGUGAGAGAUAAGGUUUGACA